rnacentral:rRNA from 1 species
GUGUCAGCAGCCGCGGUAAUACGGAGGAUGCAAGCGUUAUCCGGAAUUAUUGGGCGUAAAGCGUCCGCAGGUGGUUUAUCAAGUCUGCUGUCAAAGCGCGAGGCUCAACUUCGUAAAGGCAGUGGAAACUGAUGAACUAGAGUUUGGUAGGGGUAGAGGGAAUUCCCAGUGUAGCGGUGAAAUGCGUAGAUAUUGGGAAGAACACCGGUGGCGAAAGCGCUCUACUGGGCCUGAACUGACACUGAGGGACGAAAGCUAGGGGAGCGAAAGGGAUUAGAUACCCCCGUAGUCC